CACGUAGGGGGCGAGCGUUGUCCGGAUUUAUUAGGCGUAAAGAGCUCGUAGGCGGCUCAGUUAGUCGGGUGUGAAACCCCCGGCUCAACCCGGGGACGCCACCCGAUACUGCUAUGGCUAGAGUCCGGUAGGGGAGCGGUGGAAUUCCUGGUGUAGCGGUGAAAUGCGCAGAUAUCAGGAGGAACACCAGCGGCGAAGGCAGCUCGCUGGGACGGUACUGACGCUGAGGUGCGAAAGCGUGGGGAGCGAACAGG
rnacentral:rRNA from 1 species